CGCCUGCCACAGACGAGGCAUAAAAGUUGGACUGAUCCAACAAUAUACUUGGUCAGUUUGAGGGUCAUAAAAAGGUUUGGGGUCCUCAACAGUAGAAACACUACACAAAGACCUAGCAUAUUUGACAAGCCAUUCUGAUUUCACACUUGUUGCUCCAUGAAUGUAUGGGGCCGUUUCGUCCGCAGCAAUUCACUGUACACCAAAAACUCAGGAGCUGAAUUAGAAAGAGAUGACCAACGAUGAAGGAACACGAUUUCUUUAACCCCACAGGCCUCAUACCGAACUGAAUUUACUUUUCUAUCUCCUUCAGAUGACUUUGAAUCUCCUCUGAUUCGUUUGGCAACUCUAUCAGCCCAGCCGGCACAGAUAGCUUGGCCUAAGAGCUCUUCCUCAUUGAGUAAAAGAGGGUUCUUACUGAAGGACACCCUCCAAGCUUGU
rnacentral:misc_RNA from 1 species